UGGGGAAUUUUGGACAAUGGGGGAAACCCUGAUCCAGCCAUCCCGCGUGUGCGAUGAAGGCCUUCGGGUUGUAAAGCACUUUUGGCAGGAAAGAAACGUCGCGGGUUAAUACCCCGCGGAACUGACGGUACCUGCAGAAUAAGCACCGGCUAACUACGUGCCAGCAGCCGCGGUAAUACGUAGGGUGCAAGCGUUAAUCGGAAUUACUGGGCGUAAAGCGUGCGCAGGCGGUUCGGAAAGAAAGAUGUGAAAUCCCAGAGCUUAACUUUGGAACUGCAUUUUUAACUACCGGGCUAGAGUGUGUCAGAGGGAGGUGGAAUUCCGCGUGUAGCAGUGAAAUGCGUAGAUAUGCGGAGGAACACCGAUGGCGAAGGCAGCCUCCUGGGAUAACACUGACGCUCAUGCACGAAAGCGUGGGGAGCAAACAGGAUUAGAUACCCUGGUAGUCCACGCCCUAAAACGAUGUCAACUAGCUGUUGGGGUCUUCGGACCUUGGUAGCGCAGCUAACGCGUGAAGUUGACCGCCUGGGGAGUACGGUCGCAAGAUUAAAACUUAAAUGAAUUGACGGGGUCAUA
rnacentral:rRNA from 1 species